AGAAUCAACGCUGGCGGCGUGCCUAACACAUGCAAGUCGCACGAGAAAGGGGCUUCGGCCCUGAGUAAAGUGGCGCACGGGUGAGUAACACGUGAAUUAUCUACCUCCGAGUGGGGAAUAACUGAGAGAAAUCUUAGCUAAUACCGCAUAACACUCACGAGUCAAAGCAGCAAUGCGCUUGGAGAGGAGUUCGCGGCCGAUUAGUUAGUUGGCGGGGUAAUGGCCCACCAAGACGAUGAUCUGUAU
rnacentral:rRNA from 1 species